rnacentral:misc_RNA from 1 species
UGAGACGUUCCAAGGCCCCUGCAG